AGAGUUUGAUCCUGGCUCAGGAUGAACGCUAGCGGCAGGCUUAACACAUGCAAGUCGAGGGGCAGCGCGUUGUAGCAAUACGAUGGCGGCGACCGGCGCAAGGGUGCGUAACGCGUGAGCAACUUGCCCGCAACAGGAGGAUAACCGGAGGAAACUCCGACUAAUACUGCGUAGCAACGGAUGGCGGCAUCGCCGACCGUUUAAAGGCGAAAGCUGGUUGCGGAUAGGCUCGCGUGACAUUAGCUGGAUGGCGGGGUAACGACCCACCAUGGCGACGAUGUCUAGGGGUUCUGAGAGGAAGGUCCCCCACACUGGUACUGAGACACGGACCAGACUCCUACGGGAGGCAGCAGUGAGGAAUAUUGGACAAUGGUCGGAAGACUGAUCCAGCCAUGCCGCGUGAAGGCUAAGGUCCUAUGGAUUGUAAACUUCUUUUGUACGAGAGGAAUUAGACGGACGAGUCCGUCGACGACAGUAUCGUAAGAAUAAGCAUCGGCUAACUCCGUGCCAGCAGCCGCGGUAAUACGGAGGAUGCGAGCGUUAUCCGGAUUCAUUGGGUUUAAAGGGUGCGCAGGCGGCUGCCUAAGUCAGCGGUGAAAGUCAGGGGCCCAACCCCGGAAGUGCCGUUGAUACUGGGUGGCUGGAAUGCGGUCGAGGCGGGCGGAAUGUGGUGUGUAGCGGUGAAAUGCAUAGAUAUGCCACAGAACGCCGAUAGCGAAGGCAGCUCGCCAGGCCUGCAUUGACGCUCGGGCACGAAAGCGUGGGGAUCAAACAGGAUUAGAUACCCUGGUAGUCCACGCCGUAAACGAUGGACGCUCGUCGUCGGCGACAGACAGUCGGCGGCCAAGCGAAAGUGAUAAGCGUCCCACCUGGGGAGUACGGUCGCAAGGCUGAAACUCAAAGGAAUUGACGGGGGCCCGCACAAGCGGUGGAGCAUGUGGUUUAAUUCGAUGAUACGCGAGGAACCUUACCCGGGCUUGAACUGCAGGGGAACGAUUGGGAGACCAAGAGGCCCUUCGGGGCUCCUGCAGAGGUGCUGCAUGGUUGUCGUCAGCUCGUGCCGUGAGGUGUUAGGUUAAGUCCUGCAACGAGCGCAACCCCUGCCCCCAGUUGCCAGCGGUCCGGCCGGGCACUCUGGAGGGACUGCCCGCGCAAGCGGAGAGGAAGGCGGGGAUGACGUCAAAUCAGCACGGCCCUUACGUCCGGGGCGACACACGUGCUACAAUGGCCGGCACAGAGGGAGGCGAGCCCGCGAGGGUGAGCGGAUCCAUGAAAGCCGGUCUCAGUCCGGAUCGGAGUCUGCAACCCGACUCCGUGAAGCCGGAAUCGCUAGUAAUCGCGCAUCAGCCAUGGCGCGGUGAAUACGUUCCCGGGCCUUGUACACACCGCCCGUCAAGCCAUGGGAGCCGUGGGCGCCUGAAGUCGGGGUCGGACCCUGCCUAGGGCGAAUUCGGUGACUGGGGCUAAGUCGUAACAAGGUAACC
rnacentral:rRNA from 1 species